rfam:Brassica napus, WGS project CCCW01000000 data, contig: 10159
AUCUUUGCGCUUGGGGCAAUGACGCAGCUAAUGAGGUACUAACCGAGGCGCGUCUAUUGCUGGUUGAAAACUAUUUCCAAACCCCCUCCUGAGCCUAAGCUUGUCUUGGGCUCUCGAGAAUUUCUGGAAGGGCUCCCUUCGGGGUAAAGCC